rnacentral:rRNA from 1 species
UACGGAGGGUGCAAGCGUUGUCCGGAAUCACUGGGCGUAAAGCGCACGUAGGCGGCUCGUUAAGUCGGGGGUGAAAUCCUGGAGCUCAACUCCAGAACUGCCCUCGAUACUGACGAGCUCGAGUCCGGGAGAGGUGAGUGGAACUGCGAGUGUAGAGGUGAAAUUCGUAGAUAUUCGCAAGAACACCAGUGGCGAAGGCGGCUCACUGGCCCGGUACUGACGCUGAGGUGCGAAAGCGUGGGGAGCAAACAGG